rnacentral:lncRNA from 1 species
ACAGGGCGCAGCCAGGACCGGCCCGGGCGGACAGACCGGCCCGCCGGGAGCCCGGGGCGGGGGGUGGAGGGGAUUGCGGUGAUGGAAGCGGGGGAGAACCGGGUUCCCAAAUUACCGGUUUCCCUUUAGACAGCCGCCGUCUGUUGUCGCCCGCUCCUCCUGUCUGCCCCGGGACCGCCUCCGCUCGGGUAUCUGUCCGUCUGCGCCCCCUCCUCCCCGGCAUGUCCGUCUGUCCAGCGCCUCCCGCGCUGUGGCUGUCUCAUAUCCCCCCCAAACCAUCACAACCAAAAUAGGGACAAGCACACACUUCGCUGGCCUGCCGUUUCUGCCUUGGACUGCCGGAUUUCCGGGUGCAUUGUUGCGGUUGGGGUCCCCACCAGGGGAGACAGACAGACAAGGGGAGACAAUCUGUUCACACUCAAGCCACAGCCCCAAAGCCCUCCCGUUCCUUUCCCCGCUCCCUUGGGGUUCUCUUGCCUGUCUUUCUCGAGCCUCUUUCAAGAGACAGGCAGCCCGUGGUCCUUCCAUCCUGUGUCCGGGAAGCUGUCCACAGCUGGGAGGUUCUAACAACUCAUCCCCAACACACACUCCCAACACCCCCCCAUCCAGUAGCUUCAUGUGACCAGGGCUGGGGCGAAUCUCCGAGCAGAGAGAAGAAAUUGAGUGUGUGACAGUGUGAAUGGAUGUGACUAUAGGUGAGCAACAGUCGGUGACAAUGUGCACAUCUGGUAUUUCCUGUGUGAGAGCAAAACUGCAGGACUCAGUGAGUGGUUUCUGUGGUUUGCACUUGUGUAUCUGGGUGUAUGGGAGUGUGUAGCCCUGCUGACUGUGUAGAUAUGAAUGUGUGUGCAGUUGUGAGUCUUGCAUGUGGUCAUCUAUGUGAAACAAUGCCUGUAUAAGUACCCAUGGAUGUGCACGGUUUUGCCUCUAGCCGUGCAUUUCUGGUUCUGUGUGUGUGUGUUUCUGGUUUUUUCGUUUGUUUUUUAGAGAUGGGGUCUGGCUGUGUUGCCCAGGCUAGUCUUAAACUCCUGGGCUCAAGCGAUCCCCGCCGUCUCAGCCUCCCGACUAGUGGGGACUACAGGCAAGCGCCACUACACUCGGCUAAUUUUCUGGUUUUUUUUGUAGAGACAGGAUCUUGCUGUGUUGCUCAGGCUGGUCUCCAAUUCCUGGCCCCAAGUGAUCCUCCCACCUCGGCCUUCCACCACAGUGCUAGGAUUAUAGGCAUGAGCCACCGUGCCUAGCCAUGUGUGUUUCUGGAUUUCUGUGUGUAACCAUGCAGGUACCUGCGUUUGUGUACAGAUUAUUUUUCAGAGCUCCCUCCACAGCAUUCAUUGCAAUGUCUAAUUAUAUAUUUGUUCCUUUGUUUACUGUCCAUCUCCCCCACUGGACUGUGCACCCUGUGAGGGCAGGACCCAAGGCUGUUGUGGUCACUGCCAGGUCCCCAGCACCACCCUGCACAGAGAAGGUGCUCAGUAAUUCCUUGUUGGGUAAAUGAAUCGAUGACUCUUAUGUCCAUGUCGAGCACACACAUCCAUGUAACCCUGCAAGUGAUUUUGUGGUACUGGGUCUUCUGUGUGUGUCUAGAAGCUGCGUGGGCCAUAGCACAGGAGGGUCUCUGUAGCCAUGUAGCUCUAAUUUUUGGCACCCCCCACAGUGCAGGGCACAUAUCAGAGCCUCAUGGCACAUAUCAGGGCCACGUGGAGUAGGAGGCCAGGUGCACUGGCUCACACCUGCAAUCCCAGCAUUUUGGGAGGCUAAGGCAGGAGGAUCACUUGAGACCUGGAGUUCAAGACCAGCCUGGGCAACAAGGUGAGACCCUGUCUCUACACAUAAUACAAAAAUUAGGCCAGGCGCAGUGGCUCAUGCCUGUAAUCCCAGCAAUUUGGGAGGCCAAGGAGGGUGGAUCACCUGAGGUCAGGAGUUCGAGACCAGCCUAGCCAACAUGGUGAAACCCCAUCUCUACUAAAAAUAAAGAAAAAAAAGCCAGGCAUGGUGGUGGGUGCCUGUAAUCCCAGCCACUUGGAAGGCUGAAGCUAAAGAAUUGCUUAAACCCGGGAGGUAGAGGUUGCAGUGAUCCAAGAUCACGUCAUUGCACUCCAGCCUGGGCAACAAGAGUGAAACUCCGUCUCAAACAACAACAACAACAAUAAAAACAAAACGAAAAUUAGCCGGGCAUGGUGGUGCACACCUGGAAUCCCAGCUACUUGGCAGGCUGUGGUGGGAGGAUCAUCAGAGACCAGGAGAUCAAGGCUGCAGUGAGCUGUGAUUACACCACUGUACUCCAGCCUGUACAACAGAGUGAGACUUUGUCUCAAAAGAAAAACAAAAAACAAAAACAAAAAUUUAAAAAACCCCUAAAAACUAUGGAUUUGAACUCUGUUGUCUUUUUUUUUU